rnacentral:rRNA from 1 species
CCCGCCAACCGGGUGGACAUGUGGUUUAUUCGAAGCACGCGAAGAACCUUACCAGGUCUUGACAUCCCACUGACCGGCUUAGAGAUAGGCUUUUCCCUUCGGGGACAGUGGUGACAGGUGGUGCAUGGUUGUCGUCAGCUCGUGUCGUGAGAUGUUGGGUUAAGUCCCGCAACGAGCGCAACCCUUGAUCUUAGUUGCCAGCAUUCAGUUGGGCACUCUAAGGUGACUGCCGGUGAUAAACCGGAGGAAGGUGGGGAUGACGUCAAAUCAUCAUGCCCCUUAUGACCUGGGCUACACACGUGCUACAAUGGACGAUACAAAGGGCUGCAAACCCGCGAGGGGGAGCCAAUCCCAUAAAAUCGUUCUCAGUUCGGAUUGUAGGCUGCAACUCGCCUACAUGAAGCCGGAAUCGCUAGUAAUCGUGGAUCAGCAUGCCACGGUGAAUACGUUCCCGGGCCUUGUACACACCGCCCGUCACACCACGAGAGUUUGUAACACCCGAAGUCGGUGAGGUAACCUUUACAGGAGCCAGCCGCCGAAGGUGGGACAGAUGAUUGGGGUGAAGUCGUAACAAGGUAACCGAA